rnacentral:rRNA from 1 species
GACGGGGGAUGCAAGCGUUAUCCGGAAUCACUGGGCGUAAAGCGUCUGUAGGUGGUGAUGCAAGUCACUGGUGCAAAACUCUGGCUCAACCGGAGGAAAGCCAGUGAAACUGCAUGACUUGAGUGUGGGAGAGGUAGAAGGAAUUCCCUGAGUAGCCGUGAAAUGCGUAGAUACAUGGAAGAACACCGGAGGCGAAAGCGUUCUACUGGAACACAACUGACACUGAGAGUCGAAAGCUAGGGGGGUGAAUGGG